rnacentral:rRNA from 1 species
AAUAGAUACCCAGGUAGUCCACGCCCUAAACGAUGUCAACUGGUUGUUGGGGAUUCAUUUCUUCAGUAACGAAGCUAACGCGUGAAGUUGACCGCCUGGGGAGUACGGCCGCAAGGUUAAAACUCAAAGGAAUUGACGGGGACCCGCACAAGCGGUGGAUGAUGUGGUUUAAUUCGAUGCAACGCGAAAAACCUUACCCACCUUUGACAUGGCAGGAAUCCUUCAGAGACGAAGGAGUGCUCGCAAGAGAGCCUGCACACAGGUGCUGCAUGGCUGUCGUCAGCUCGUGUCGUGAGAUGUUGGGUUAAGUCCCGCAACGAGCGCAACCCUUGCCAUCAGUUGCUACGAAAGGGCACUCUGAUGGGACUGCCGGUGACAAACCGGAGGAAGGUGGGGAUGACGUCAAGUCCUCAUGGCCCUUAUAGGUGGGGCUACACACGUCAUACAAUGGCCGGUACAAAGGGCAGCGAAGCCGCGAGGUGAAGCCAAUCCCAUAAAGCCGGUCGUAGUCCGGAUUGCACUCUGCUAACG